UACGUAGGGUGCAAGCGUUAAUCGGAAUUACUGGGCGUAAAGCGUGCGCAGGCGGUUUUGUAAGUCUGACGUGAAAUCCCCGGGCUCAACCUGGGAAUUGCGUUGGAGACUGCAAGGCUGGAGUCUGGCAGAGGGGGGUAGAAUUCCACGUGUAGCAGUGAAAUGCGUUGAGAUGUGGAGGAACACCGAUGGCGAAGGCAGCCCCCUGGGUCAAGACUGACGCUCAUGCACGAAAGCGUGGGGAGCAAACAGG
rnacentral:rRNA from 1 species